rnacentral:rRNA from 1 species
AGAGUUUGAUCCUGGCUCAGAAUCAACGCUGGCGGCGUGCCUAACACAUGCAAGUCGAGCGAGAGGAGGUAGCAAUACCUUAGUAAAGCGGCGCACGGGUGAGUAACACGUGGAUAACCUGCCUCGAAGUGGGGAAUAACCCCGGGAAACCGGAGCUAAUACCGCAUAUCCUGACAAUUUCUGUGGAUUUUGUCAGUAAAGGAGCAAUUCGCUUUGAGAGGGGUCCGCGGCUGAUUAGCUAGUUGGUGAGGUAAUGGCUCACCAAGGCCACGAUCAGUAGCCGGUCUGAGAGGACGGUCGGCCACACUGGAACUGAGACACGGUCCAGACUCCUACGGGAGGCAGCAGUGGGGAAUUUUUCGCAAUGGGGGCAACCCUGACGAAGCAACGCCGCGUGGGUGAUGAAGUAUUUCGGUACGUAAAACCCUUUCGACGGGGACGAAACCGCAAGGUUGACGGUACCCGUAGAAGAAGCCCCGGCUAACUCCGUGCCAGCAGCCGCGGUAAUACGGGGGGGGCAAGCGUUGUUCGGAAUUACUGGGCGUAAAGGGCGCGUAGGCGGCUCGCUAAGUUGGAUGUGAAAACUCUGGGCUUAACCCAGAGCCUGCAUCCAAAACUGGCAAGCUUGAGUACUGGAGGGGAAAGCGGAAUUCCUGGUGUAGCGGUGAAAUGCGUAGAUAUCAGGAGGAACACCGGUGGCGAAGGCGGCUUUCUGGACAGUAACUGACGCUGAGGCGCGAAAGCUAGGGGAGCAAACAGGAUUAGAUACCCUGGUAGUCC